rnacentral:rRNA from 1 species
ACGAUCAGAUACCGUCGUAAUCUUAACCAUAAACUAUGCCGACUAGGCUUUGGAUGAAAGAUUUUAAAAUAUGAGUGUUUCUUUUAGAUAGCUUCC